rnacentral:rRNA from 2 species
ACGACCUCAGAGCAGGCGA